UUCAUGCAGUUGCCGGGAUCUGUCAACCAAUAUGAUGGUGUAUGCAACUUGCUUAAAGAAAUAGCAAAGCGUGAAAGGCUUGAAAGUUUUCUACAGGUAAGGAUUCUAAAAACAUUUUGCAGACAAAAUAAUUAUAAGUACCCACAAACUUGUCUAAUCUUUAUUCGAUUUUGCUUUUAAGUCGAUUUCAUCCUAGUUUGGAACUUAGAGAACCUUUUUAGAAUAUAAAUACUGAACAUUUGCCUUUUUUUGUUCAUAUAGACAUUUUUCAAAAGCUGCGUGCGAAUUUUAUACGAGACAUAUUUUUGUUUUUAUUGGAGGGAAAAGCUGAUAAGUGAGCUCUAAUGAAAAAUAUUGCUCGUAAGAGCUCGACCUAUUCAUCUAUCAUUGACUGUACCAACUGAAGCUUCCAAGCCAACUUCUUUAGCUUUCGACCCAGGGGCAGAAUCAGACAUUUUCUACUGUGGGGUCAAAAAUUAAGUAUGCUCGAACGGCGCUGUAAGGGCGGUAGGUUUCAGUCAUUGGCACUCGAGUGUCUUCUUCUAGCCUUGCCUAAUGUUCCAAGUUUUUAUCAUGUCAAAGCAUACUUGAGUUUUAGAAACACUAAAAAUGAAUAAAUACACAAAAAUAUAAGUCGGCGAAUAAAUUAGAACAAAAAAUUUUCGAAAAAAGGUGGGGUGGGGGAGAUCAUCUGAUAGCUUCCAAUUACUUGAAUAACAACUAACAAGUUUAUCAUUGUAACAAGUCAGUUGUGUUGAAUUACUUAUUUGCGCAAAGAUUCUUAUAAUUUACUUUCACUUAAAUUAUUAUCAUAUUUUAUUAAUAUGAAGGGAUAACAUCAAGAGUAUAUAUAUAUACACACAGAGACAUGAAACCAAAGGGAUAAGAUGAAUAAAGCAUAUACAUACCAACAUGUAGAUACAUGUGUAGAAAUAUGAAAUCAAAGGGAUAAAAUCAAGAAAACAUAUAUCUAUAUAUGUGUAUAUAUUUACAUAAAUGUGUGUGCACAGAAACAUGAAAUCAAAUUUUUACUUUAGGGACAUCACAGCUACAGAAAAAGGAAAUAACCAAAAUCGAGUUGAAAUUAGGCAAAUAGAUAGCAGAAAGUGAACAAAAGCAAUGAUAAAAAAAAAUAAAAAAUUGUGGGGUCAUUUGACCCCACAUGACCCCAUGUUGGUCCGUCCAUGUUAGGUUCAAAUCCCAUUUGACAGAAUAAAUCAUAUGAAUUUUUCAAGAGGUUUCCCAACUAAGUCAGUCGAUCCAGGACGAACAAAGCGUUAAAGGUGAUUCACCAAUCUCGAUUACAACAUGAUUUUAGUUUCUUUUUCAAUCUUGUCCAGUAUAAAACAAUCUUGUGUUUUACCAAACAAGCAGUGAGAGUUUGAUGAGAUGCUGGAAGUCGAAAAAGGAAUAGGCUCGGAGUUACAAACUAGGCUUAUCGGUGCCUUGAAAAUGAGGAGAAAUGGUUUUUUUUUUUUUUUUUUUUUUUUUUUUGGAAACAAAAUAAGAAAUUUUGUAUUAGUGUUGUUGUAACAUUAGAG
rnacentral:lncRNA from 1 species